AACGAACGCUGGCGGCAGGCCUAACACAUGCAAGUCGAGCGGAUCCUUCGGGAUUAGCGGCGGACGGGUGAGUAACGCGUGGGAAUAUGCCCUUCUCUACGGAAUAGCCUCGGGAAACUGAGAGUAAUACCGUAUACGCCCUUUGGGGGAAAGAUUUAUCGGAGAAGGAUUAGCCCGCGUUGGAUUAGGUAGUUGGUGGGGUAAUGGCCUACCAAGCCUACGAUCCAUAGCUGGUUUGAGAGGAUGAUCAGCCACACUGGGACUGAGACACGGCCCAGACUCCUACGGGAGGCAGCAGUGGGGAAUCUUAGACAAUGGGGGCAACCCUGAUCUAGCCAUGCCGCGUGAGUGAUGAAGGCCUUAGGGUUGUAAAGCUCUUUCAGCUGGGAAGAUAAUGACGGUACCAGCAGAAGAAGCCCCGGCUAACUCCGUGCCAGCAGCCGCCGUAA
rnacentral:rRNA from 1 species